GACGAACGCUGGCGGCGUGCCUAAUACAUGCAAGUCGAACGCAGUGGGGACGGGUGAGUAACACGUGGGUAACCUCCCAUCAGAUGGGAUAACACUUGGAAACAGGUGCUCAACCGAUACUUGUGGAUGGACCCGCGGUGCAUUAGCUAGUUGGUGAGGUAACGGCUCACCAAGGCCACGAUGCAUAGCCGACUGGUGAGGGGGAUCGGCCACACUGCGACUGGUACACGGCCCAGAAUCCUACGGGAGGCAGCAGUAGGGAAUCUUCGGCAAUGGACGAAAGUCUGACCGAGCAACGCCGCGUGAGUGAAGAAGGUGUUCGGAUCGUAAAACGCUGUUGUUAGAGAAGCGGUAUCUAACCAGAAAGCCACGGCUAACUACGUGCCAGCAGCCGCGGUAAUUC
rnacentral:rRNA from 1 species